AUUGAACGCUGGCGGCAGGCCUAACACAUGCAAGUCGAACGGUAACAGGAAACAGCUUGCUGUUUCGCUGACGAGUGGCGGACGGGUGAGUAAUGUCUGGGAAACUGCCUGAUGGAGGGGGAUAACUACUGGAAACGGUAGCUAAUACCGCAUAACGUCGCAAGACCAAAGAGGGGGACCUUCGGGCCUCUUGCCAUCGGAUGUGCCCAGAUGGGAUUAGCUAGUAGGUGGGGUAACGGCUCACCUAGGCGACGAUCCCUAGCUGGUCUGAGAGGAUGACCAGCCACACUGGAACUGAGACACGGUCCAGACUCCUACGGGAGGCAGCAGUGGGGAAUAUUGCACAAUGGGCGCAAGCCUGAUGCAGCCAUGCCGCGUGUAUGAAGAAGGCCUUCGGGUUGUAAAGUACUUUCAGCGGGGAGGAAGGGAGUAAAGUUAAUACCUUUGCUCAUUGACGUUACCCGCAGAAGAAGCACCGGCUAACUCCGUGCCAGCAGCCGCGGUAAUACGGAGGGUGCAAGCGUUAAUCGGAAUUACUGGGCGUAAAGCGCACGCAGGCGGUUUGUUAAGUCAGAUGUGAAAUCCCCGGGCUCAACCUGGGAACUGCAUCUGAUACUGGCAAGCUUGAGUCUCGUAGAGGGGGGUAGAAUUCCAGGUGUAGUGCUGAAACGUCUAGAGAUCUGGAGGAAUAUCGGUGGUGAAGGCGGCCCCUGGUCUAAAACUGGAGCUCAUGUGCGAAAUCGUGGGGGAGCAUACAUGUUUAUAUACCCUUGGUAUUCCUCUGUUAACUCCAC
rnacentral:rRNA from 1 species